AACGGCCAUACCAUGCUGAAUUAUACCGGUUCUCGUUAGAUCACCGAAGUCAAGCAUCAUUGGGCGCGGUCAGUACUUGGGUGGGUGACCACCUGGGAACACCGCGUGCCGUUG
rnacentral:rRNA from 1 species